rnacentral:rRNA from 1 species
GGGGCUUGACAUUCCCCUGAAGUCCCCGAGAAAUCGGGGAUCUCCCUUCGGGGACAGGGGAAC